UACGUAGGGGGCAAGCGUUGUCCGGAAUCAUUGGGCGUAAAGAGCGUGUAGGCGGUCCGAUAAGUCCGCUCUGAAAGCCCGGGGCUCAACCCCGGGAGGCGGGCGGAUACUGUCGGGCUAGAGUCCGGAAGAGGCAAGUGGAAUUCCUGGUGUAGCGGUGAAAUGCGUAGAUAUCUGGAGGAACACCGGUGGCGAAGGCGGCGUUCUGGACUGCAACUGACACUGAGGAACGAAAGCCAGGGGAGCAAACGGG
rnacentral:rRNA from 1 species